rnacentral:rRNA from 1 species
AUUGAACGCUGGCGGAAUGCCUAACACAUGCAAGUCGAGCGGGGGUAGCAAUACUUCAGCGGCGGACGGGUGAGGAACACAUAGGAAUCUGCCUUUAGGUGGGGGAUAGCCAGGGGAAACUCUGGGUAAUACCGCAUGAUCUCGGGAGAGCAAAGGGGCGCAAGUCUCGCCUUUAGAGGAGCCUAUGUCUGAUUAGCUAGUUGGCGGUGUAAUGGACCACCAAGGCGAUGAUCAGUAACUGGUCUGAGAGGACGAUCAGUCACACCGGAACUGAGACACGGUCCGGACUCCUACGGGAGGCAGCAGUGGGGAAUAUUGGACAAUGGGCGAAAGCCUGAUCCAGCAAUUCCGCGUGUGUGGAGAAGGCCUUCGGGUUGUAAAGCACUUUAGUUGGGGAAGAAACAGCUUGGCCACACCAAGCCUUGACGGUACCCAAAGAAUAAGCACCGGCUAACUCUGUGCCAGCCGCCGCGGUAAGAC